rnacentral:rRNA from 1 species
AUGGCCGCCGCCGCCCCCAUCCCGGCCCCGGCGCCCGCGGCCGACGACGAGAUCGUCUACGAGUCCAUGCCCUGCAUCCGCAUCUACAAGGACCGCGUGGAGCGCUACUUCGGCUCCGAGUUCGUCGCCGCCUCCGCCGACGCCGACGCCGCCACCGGGGUCGCCUCCCGCGACCGCGUCAUCUCCCCCGAGGUCUCCGCGCGCCUCUACCUCCCCCGCCUCGACCCCGCCAAGGACUCCAAGCUCCCCGUCCUCGUCUACUACCACGGCGGCGGCUUCUGCCUCGGCUCCGCCUUCAACCCCACCUUCCACGCCUACUUCAACAACCUCGCCGCGCUCGCCGGCGUGCUCGUCGUCUCCGUCGAGUACCGCCUCGCGCCCGAGCACCCCGUCCCCGCCGCCUACGCCGACUCCUCGGACGCGCUCGCCUGGGUCGUCUCCCACGCCGCCCCCGGCGCCGCCGCCGCUGGCUUCGAGCCAUGGCUCGCCGACCACGCCGACUUCGCCCGCCUCUACCUCGGCGGCGAGAGCGCCGGCGCCAACAUCGCGCACCACGUGGCGAUGCGGGUCGGCGCGGAGGGGCUGCCCCACGGCGCCGCCAUCCACGGCCUCCUCAUGAUCCACCCAUACUUCCUCGGCACCGACAAGGUGGCCUCCGACGACCUCGACCCGGCGGCGCGGGAGAGCCUGGCGAGCCUGUGGCGCGUCAUGUGCCCGACCACCACCGGGGAGGACGACCCGCUCAUCAACCCGUUCGUGGACGGCGCGCCGGGCCUGGACGCCCUGGCGUGCGGGCGCGUGCUGGUGUGCAUCGGCGAGGGCGACGUGCUCCGCGACCGCGGCCGCGCCUACUACGACCGGCUCAGGGCCAGCGGGUGGAGCGGGGAGGCCGACAUUUGGCAGGCGCCGGGGAAGGGCCACACCUUCCACCUCCUCGAGCCCUGCUGCGAAGAGGCCGUCGCCCAGGACAAGGUCAUCGCCGAGUUCCUCAACCAUUGA